AAGGAAUGACAACUGGGAUAAAAACGCGCCACAUCGCAUGGGAAGGAGGAGUCAUCGAGAUUUGAUUAUCAUUAAACUAUAUAAUACAAGAAAUCUCUCGAUUGGAAUGGCCUAAUUUUUGCUGAGAGUAGCUAAGUUUACAAAAAAAUAUUGGACACGCUGGGGAUUGAACCCAGGACGACUCGCAUGCAAAGCGAGCAUGCUACCACUGCAUCACAUGCCCAAACAUUGAAGGCUUCAGCAUAUUAGUAAAGUAUAAGGUAAUUUUUUUGUUUAGUAGCUGAUGAAAGAAGGAAAAUGGAAAGUAGUUAAACCAUAGAACAAGCUUGAAAU